UCACUGGCAAAGUGUCUCUCAUUUCCCUCUAGUCUGAUGAAAGAUGGUAAGGAGGAAGAAAGAAGAAGAGACAAGAUAAAGCAAGAAAGGAGAACAAGCAGAAGAAGAGGGACAAAGGAGCUAGAGUGUCAUCCAGCUCUAGUUCCCAGAAUUCAGGACCUUCAGUUGUCUCUCUCUACUGGCCUUUGGGAUGGGAGUGAGACCCUUAGGAAUGUGGUCUUCUACCAGAGUAUCUUAUGUCCAUGGGCUUGACCCCUAGGUAUUCUCAAUGUUAACUCCUCCUCUUCUAGGAGUCCUAGGUGAAGCUCAUGGUCAGCCCUGCUCUCCCAGGCCACCAGUUUCACUGUUGUACUACUGAGCAUGAUGGAGCCUUUUAUCUUCUACUACUUGUUUUUCCUUCCAAUUAGUGCUCUUUUCCCUAUUCCCAGCAAGUCUCAUGCCAAGGAACUGGUUGAGGGAAGUACACAGAGUAGGGGGCACUCGUUUAUCUGAUAUGCCUGCAGUGACUCCGAAUUAUUUGCCUCUUUACUUCCUAAUAGGUAGAGACAUAACACAGUCUAUGGAGAAUGUGUUUUUGUUUCAGGAAGAGGAAGAAGUGAUCUCAGACAACACCUUAUCAACUGGUAAACUAUUACAAAUUUAGAUGGGCAAAAUAUAAACAUUCAGAUUCCAAUUUGGAGAGAAUACUGGGAUGCAUCUCUUCUGAAACAUGCAAUUAGCUCUUUAUUGACCAUAAGUGAUCAAACUUGUUUGUUUAUCCAUCUGAAUGAUAAGAAGUCGACUGCUGUGUUUCUUGAACAUUUAUGUUAUCAGUUAAGGAAAGAAAUUUUUCCACAGCAUUCUGUAUCAAUGUCUCAGAGAAGAACAGAUAUCCAAAGAAAGUGCUUUUUCAUAAGAGACACUUACAUACCGGAUUCAUGUAUGGUGCCACAGGGAUCUUCACACCAUGACUGUUCUCUGCUUCCACUGGAAGUGCAUAAUUGAGAUGGAGGUACAGAUUCCUUUAAAAAAAAAAAAAAAGAUAUAUUAACAACCUCCAGAACAGUGAACCCAUUUAGAUAGUCUUCAUCAUAAAUGAACAUUUACAUGUUUAUUAAAAACUAGAAAUAUAAAUAUCAAAAUACUAAGGUACAGUUACGACGAAGAAAUCAGUCUGCACAUGCCAGUUUUGUACUUUGGUUCGGUGGCAAA